UUCAUUCCCGUGAGGGUUAUGAACAGGCAUGGGAUUGGUCUUGGACAGCCUGGGCUACGGCAGCAGGAAGAGAUGGAUGCAGGUUUGGGGCUCUAUUUCCCCUAAAUAACCUAAGUCCAGAUAGAGAUAAACAAUCUCUGGAAGAGGAGGCCUUUAAAAGACUAUCAGGAGCCUAGGCUCUGCUUCUGGGGCUGCAGGGCAUCUGGCUCACCAGCACGUGGAAGUUGAUCCGCUCACAGUGCUCCUGGCCGGAGGAGAGCAGGGCGGCCCUGUUGGUGUACCGGUCGCCGCCCUCAUCCAGGUGGGCCCGCGGUGUGUACCGCCUCUCAUCCAUGGUGGCAUUAUACCUGAUGCCUGGAGGAAGGAGAGAGACCCUCAAGAGAGCCCAAGAAUCGUGAAAAAUGGGGGAACCAACCACAAAAUCACGGCGUUGCCAAGAGCACCCACUGCCAAGUCCACGAGUCCGUCUUCAUCAAGGUCCAGC